UACGAGAGGCCCAAACGUUAUUCGGAUUUACUGGGCUUAAAGAGUUCGUAGGCGGCGCAGAAAGUCGGGUGUGAAAGCCCUCGGCUCAACCGAGGAAUUGCGCCCGAAACUACUGUGCUUGAGGGUCCUAGAGGUGAGCAGAACUGAUGGUGGAGCGGUGAAAUGCGUUGAUAUCAUCAGGAAUACCGGAGGCGAAGGCGGCUCACUGGGGGUCUUCUGACGCUGAGGAACGAAAGCCAGGGGAGCGAACGGG
rnacentral:rRNA from 1 species